ensembl:lncRNA
GUGCUGAUGGGAACCACAAGCAAACCUUUAUUUAAGCUGUAAAAUAACAAGUCCAAACUGUCCAAGCAUGCGAACAGGCACAUCCUUAAAGUCACAGAGGACAUCAUCAUUAGUCCUCUGACUUCAGAGAAUCUCACCCUGGACUGCAGUCCAACAUCAGGCGCUCAGAUACCGGAGGGAGCAACAGAAACACUUUGGGUCGUGGCUGAUGUGGAAGCAGAGGUCAGGAGGAGCCACGACGCCUGGGCUUUUUCUGAUAGAAGAGAAAUGACGUUUUUAACUUUUGUUGAAUCAGUUUAAAUAUUUUCCUUCAUCGGUGGAAAUGUUGGAACCAAACUAAAUACUGUUUACGAGCAGCAGGCAGAGCAACAGGCCCGAGCUGCUGUGGAUUCUACCGCAUGAGUAACAGCACCAAAAACCUCUUUAAAUCCUUUUAUGUGCCAUCGGAGCCAUCCCCGCACCGUUUUAGUGGUUUUUACACACAGUAGUGAUUUUUUUACUGCAGGAUUACGUGUCAUGAUUUUGUAUAUUUGGUGUAUUUUGGAUGUGGAGUUCUUUCUGCUCUUUGUGGAUCAUUUCUCGACUGUCUGUAAAAGUUUCCAGUCAGGACAAUAAAACGCCUGAAUCCUGCACACAGGGAGACACAGGUGAUAAGAAUCAAGGCCAGGAGAGACUACCAAAAUAAAACAGGAAGUGAGCAGCAAUAACUACACAUGUGGGAAGUGACAAAAGAGCAAGAGACAGGAAGCACCGAGCACGCAGGACAGAUGUGCUUCGAAGUAGCAGCCAAGAAAGGUGUAAUUUGGGUCUACGAGCAGUGAACACCCGUGUGUGCAUACCUGUGUGGAUCAGCGCGCUUGUAUUCCAAAGGUUUCUCCAUGUAACGAUCUGCUAGGGAGUGUGGGGGGGCCACAGCCCCGUCCUCCAGGGUGUGAAGCAGGUAUGGAGGAGAUCAAAACUCCAGACAUCCAGAGGCCCCCAGAACACAAGAGACCAAGGAAGACCCACAGAGGGGCAGCCGCGCCACUGUCCCAGAAAGAGCUGAGGAGAGUCCCAGAUGAGGGCUCACUCAGCAGCCGCGGAGCAGAAGCCAGGGGGGGUUGCAGUGACGCGCCCGUGAGCUCCGCCGGCAGCCAGCUGCACCUGAGUGACCGAGCCCCAGGCCGAGAGGCCGGGGGCACCCCACCCCCGAAGGGGCCCGAGCGAGCCCCAGGCUCCAGGCCCCGAUAAGCGGCCGCCAACUUUUGUUUUUUCAAUAGGAAGAGGGUCAUGUGACACAUCAAACUUCUUGCCAUUGACAUGUCGAAGAGGUUAACACGUGAGGAGCGGAAUCGUGUUGAUAUCUGGUGAACGCAGUAACCAGGUCAUUGCAGCAGAUUUCAAUGCAAGACACCCUACGUAAAGUAAUGGGAUUACUUUCUUGGAGAAGUAAUCAGUAACAAGUAACUGAUUACUAUUUUCAAGUCAUUUGACCAACACUGUUCAGCAGCAGAUUAAUGAGGCGU